ACUCAAAGGAAUUGACGGGGGCCCGCACAAGCGGUGGAGCAUGUGGUUUAAUUCGAUGCAACGCGAAGAACCUUACCAGGUCUUGACAUCCAGAGAACCUUUAGGAAACUAGAGGGUGCCUUCGGGAGCUCUGAGACAGGUGGUGCAUGGUUGUCGUCAGCUCGUGUCGUGAGAUGUUGGGUUAAGUCCCGCAACGAGCGCAACCCUUGCUAUUAGUUGCUAACAGGUUAAGCUGAGCACUCUAAUGGGACCGCCCGUGACAAGCGGGAGGAAGGUGGGGAUGACGUCAAAUCAUCAUGCCCUUUAUGAUCUGGGCUACACACGUGCUACAAUGGAUGGUACAGAGAGCAGCGAAGCUGUGAAGUGGAGCGAAUCUCAAAAAGCCAUUCUCAGUUCGGAUUGUAGUCUGCAACUCGACUACAUGAAGUCGGAAUCGCUAGUAAUCGCGAAUCAGCAUGUCGCGGUGAAUGCGUUCCCGGGCCUUGUACACACCGCCCGU
rnacentral:rRNA from 1 species